rnacentral:tRNA from 1 species
AAAAAGUUAGUUUAAAAAAACAUUAAUUUGUCAAAUUAAAAAUAUUAAAUAUAAUACUUUUUA